rnacentral:rRNA from 2 species
GAUUUCCUGAGUAGCGGCGAGCGAAACGGAAUUAGCCCAAACCAAGAGGCUUGCCUCUUGGGGUUGUAGGACACUCUAUACGGAGUUACAAAGGAACGAAGUAAAUGAAGCGACCUGGAAAGGUCCGUCGAAGAAGGUAACAACCCUGUAGUUGAAACUUCGUUCCCUCUUGAGUGGAUCCUGAGUACGGCGGAACACGUGAAAUUCCGUCGGAAGCUGGGAGGACCAUCUCCCAAGGCUAAAUACUACCUAGUGACCGAUAGUGAACCAGUACCGUGAGGGAAAGGUGAAAAGCACCCCGGAAGGGGAGUGAAAGAGAUCCUGAAACCGUGUGCCUACAAGUAGUCAGAGCCCGUUAACGGGUGAUGGCGUGCCUUUUGUAGAAUGAACCGGCGAGUUACGAUCCCAUGCAAGGUUAAGCUGAUAAGGCGGAGCCGUAGCGAAAGCGAGUCUGAAUAGGGCGUUUAGUAUGUGGUUGUAGACCCCAUACCAGGUGAUCUACCCAUGUCCAGGGUGAAGUUCAGGUAACAUUUAAUGGAGGCCUUAACCCACCCACGUUGAAAAGUGCGGGGAUUACGUGUGGGUAGCGCACAAA